GCACCCACAAGGGGAUAAGGGAUUUCCUUCAAAGUUUCUACAUUCAAAACAUCGUUCUUCCUUCUAUCACCUGCAAUGCUUGCCAUAAGAAGAAGUCCAUUUCCUGUAAUAUAUCCUCUGUUAUCUGCCACUAUCAUCCUGGAUAGAAGAAAUAGAAAACGCGUUAUAAUUUUGGAAGCAAACUGUUGUCGUUCACAGUAGCUGAUUCAAAGACCUUACUCUUUGCGGUUUUGAAACACAGUUCUAUCUCUUCUUCACCAUUUCUGUCUUCAGUUAGCAAACGGUUGUCAUUCACAGAGGAUGAUUCAAUAACCUUACACUUUUCGGUUUUGAAAUACAGUUCUAGCUCUUCUUCACCAAUUCAGUGUUCAGUUAGCAUCCCCUGUAUAACUGAUUGUAUUUCAGAUGGUUGAGUUCCCAAAGAUGUACUUUUUAAGUUUAUACAGGAAAACUACAGGAUGUUUAAGGCAUAUGACAGCCGGGGUACUGCCAAUUGUAACAUAUCUGCCACUAUUUGUAAGAUCUGCUUUUCUUCAUGUUGCACCAAUCUACGUAUCUUGUAUUACACUUUUGUUGCAACAAGCAUCUUCCUUUGA